rnacentral:tRNA from 3 species
GCUCUCGUGGUGAAAUGGAUAUCACGCGGCCCUCCGGAGGCUGAGUUGUAGGUUCGAUCCCUACCGAGAGCGCCA